CUACGUGCCAGCAGCCGCGGUAAUACGUAGGGUGCGAGCGUUAAUCGGAAUUACUGGGCGUAAAGCGAGCGCAGACGGUUACUUAAGCAGGAUGUGAAAUCCCCGGGCUCAACCUGGGAACUGCGUUCUGAACUGGGUGACUAGAGUGUGUCAGAGGGAGGUAGAAUUCCACGUGUAGCAGUGAAAUGCGUAGAGAUGUGGAGGAAUACCGAUGGCGAAGGCAGCCUCCUGGGAUAACACUGACGUUCAUGCUCGAAAGCGUGGGUAGCAAACAGGAUUAGAUACCCUGGUAGUCCACGCCCUAAACGAUGUCAAUUAGCUGUUGGGCARCUUGAUUGCUUAGUAGCGUAGCUAACGCGUGAAAUUGACCGCCUGGGGAGUACGGUCGCAAGAUUAAAACUCAAAGGAAUUGACGGGGACCCGCACAAGCGGUGGAUGAUGUGGAUUAAUUCGAUGCAACGCGAAGAACCUUACCUGGUCUUGACAU
rnacentral:rRNA from 1 species